rnacentral:rRNA from 1 species
GAUGAACGCUGGCGGCGUGCCUAAUACAUGCAAGUCGAGCGAAAAGACGAGGAGGUUGCUCCACUGACGUUAGAGGCGGACAGGUGAGUAAUACGUGGAUAACCUACCUAUAAGACUGGGAUAAUUUUGGGAAAUCGGAGCUAAAACUGGCUAAUAUAUUGAAUCGAAUGGUUAAAUAGUGAAAGAGGGUUUUGCUUUCCCUUAUAGAUGGAUCCGCGCAGCAUUAGCUAGUUGGUAAGGUAGCGGCCUACCAAGGCAACGUUGCGUAGCCGACCUGAGAGGGUGAUCGACCCCACUGGAGCUGAGACACGGUCCAGACGCCAACGAGAGACAGCAGUAGGGAAUCUGCCACAAUGCGCGGAGGCCUAGCGGAGCAACGCCGCGGAGGUGAUGAAAGUAUUCGGAUCUUAAAACUCUAUUAUUAGGGAAGAAAAAAUGUGUAAGUAACUAUACACAACAUGAAGGGACCUAAUCAGAGAGCCACGGCUAACUACGUG